rnacentral:lncRNA from 1 species
UAAAAGUACCACGGGCAUCUCCAAUAAUCGAUGACGAGUCACUCUCGAGGUACUGUAUCAAUAAAUACAUGGAGCUGCCAUUGCUAGUAUCUCCAGCUGCAGCGCCCAACACUAGGAUCCAAAGCUAGCUAGCUAGCUAGCUAGAGAAACACUACUCUACAGUCCUUUGUCUCUGCCUUCGUCUCUCAACUCCAGCCUCUGCUUGACCGUUGUAGUACGUACACAAAGCAAUGGAGCACAAGGGGCAGCUUCAGCCGGAGAAGAAGAGUGCCCAAGAAGAAGAAGAAGAAGCCAUGGCGAUGGCGGCCUCGUCUCCUUCCUUCUUCUUCGCGCACCCCUUGUCUCUACUGCACCACGUCACCCGCGGCUUCGCCGGGUACAUGGGCCUCUCUCGUCUCUGCCACGCGCUCAAGGAUCUCAAGCCUCGGGCCGCCACUUCUUCCCGGCUGCAUGAGCAAGGGCCCGGAGCAGGAGGCGCUGGACAUGCUGCAGAUGUAAGUAGAAAAUGAUCUAGUAUCUUGUUAGCUUUGUUUGAGUUCAUCUAGGGACUGACUUCUGAUUUAACCUCCUUGCGAUCUAUGGGCGGGCCAUGGCUAUGAUCGGACAGGAUGGUUGCGCGGCCGUCCAAGUGCGGUCGAGAGGGGUGCCUCAGAGGCCUCGUGGUCCAAGAGAAGGACGAGGAGGAACACACCACUAGGCUUAGGCUUAGCAUAGUCUGCAAUUGUAGGCUAUAGCGUUAACGCCCAUGGGGAAUUGGCUGCGUGUGUUCUUUCUGGAAAUCUGAAUUCAGAGCCUUAGAGUGAGUGCUUCCAUCUCUUCCUGUUCUUUUCAGAAUACAAGUUUCAAUUCCAGGCCGGGCAUGUUGUUUACGUUCCUCACUUCAGCUUACAAAAUGCUAAUUUAGUAAGCAAGGAGCUGUUCCUGUUUGUAUAUCUGUACUGUAUUAUAGUAUUAUACACGAGGCUUUCAUAGAGUAAAGAGUAUGCUAAUCUUUUUUUUCAUGAUAACACGUGUUCCAUUUAUAUCAUAGUACAAGUCAUGUACGUACGGAGCUGAAUCCUCUCAACUUGACACCAGCGGCCGUCAUCUCCUCUCGCGCAAUCAUAGCAGUCAGCACAACAAAUACGACGGAUCAUCUUCUCACCCAAACUCGACACGGCUUCAUCGUUGAUAUACAGCUUUGCGGACCUUUAAGCAGGGCCGGUCCUGAGAUUUCGGGGGCCCCGGACGAAACUAUAAUCUGGGCCCCUUAGUAUAAUCUCUAAAAUAGUAAAAUAUAUAUAGACAAUGUGUUACUAGUAAACAUUUAAGUGCAUCCAAAAUGAAUAUUCAUCAUAAUGACUCAUAUAUCAGUUUUAAUUAUUUUUCUUCUUAUAUUCAUAUCAUUGCCGACAAUAUUAGUAUAGAUCUCAUCUACUAAUUUCAUGUGAAAUAUCCGUCAAAAAACAAUUGCGUAGCAAAACGUAAACUUUUGCUAGAGACCUCUCUAAAUUAAAUCUUUCAAUCCGGUCGAGUGGUAGAAUUAUGUCUAAAAUAUAAAUAAGCAAUUGCUAGAUGUGGUACGUAUCUAGUCAAUGUUUAAGAGGAAAAAUGUUACACACCUCGGUAGAUCAGCUGUCGAUCUAAGUGAAAUCUCAGCGAACUGGUAGGAGCCUAAAACGCAUCAGGGUAGAUCGCAUGCCUUCAGGGUCAUUACAGGUCGAAAUUGCUGAUGAGCCUUCCACCAUGGCCUUGGAUUAGGGGAUUUGAAAACUGAAUUAGGGGAAGCCAACAAGAUUGAAAAGGAGAACUAGGAUCGAAUGAUGCGAGGACCCGGAGAUUGGAAAGAGGAGUUUGUUGGCCUACUGUCGUAGUUCUUCUAGCGUCGGCAACUACUGAUCGGGGAUCGAGGGAUAGAAUAAGGAUCAUUCUUCUGCGUGACUUGCGUCCCUGCCUCUCUCUGGGCCUCCAUG